AACUGUAAGUAUAUUAGACUAAUGUGUGUGAAAUAUAUAUACUUGAUAAUAUGUUGAGGCUGAAACAACGCUUUCUCUAAUUUCAGAUUAUUUCACAAUCGGAUCCUCCAACCACUUCUUUCAUACUGGCUAUGUUUUGGUCUAAGUGUUUACUGUGUUUCAUAAUAGUAAUAUUCAUAUGCCUAGAUGUAAUUAUGUCUUCUCCGCUGAGAUCAUAUCAAGAUGUUUUGGAUCAGGAAGACAGAAAGAUGGUUGCCUUGGCUCAUAUUAUGCGGUUAGCAAUGGCUUUACCAGACAAUGGAAUGUUUUUGGAUAAACGGAAUGCUGGUACUGUAGAUACGUUAUAUAAUCUUCCAGAUUUGUUUUCUGCAGGUCGAUGAGAUUAUGAUGAUGGCAGUUGAAUAAAGAGCAAAGAUUCAUUGUUUUCUCUUUUUAUAAGAUGUUUACUACGAAUGUUGGCUUUAGUUGCAGCUAAUUUAAUUGUCAUAUGUUUUAACAACAAAACUUCGGUUAUCAAAACUAAUUACGCAAUAAUCUCAAAAGACAUAAA